UACGUAGGGGGCUAGCGUUGUCCGGAUUUAUUGGGCGUAAAGAGCGUGUAGGCGGCCAGAUAGGUCCGUUGUGAAAACUCGAGGCUCAACCUCGAGACGCCGAUGGAAACCAUUUGGCUAGAGUCCGGAAGAGGAGAGUGGAAUUCCUGGUGUAGCGGUGGAAUGCGCAGAUAUCAGGAGGAACACCGGUGGCGAAGGCGGGUCUCUGGGCAGUAACUGACGCUGAGGAGCGAAAGCGUGGGGAGCGAACAGG
rnacentral:rRNA from 1 species